UGGCGUCUUUAACCUUCUCAGUCACUUCCUUUCUUGCGACCGUGGACUCGAACACGCCACCUCCCAUAUCUAUUGUUGGGAUAGUCAACGUAGAAGGAGGUUUAGGAUUAGUUACCGUGGCUUGCGGGUUAUGGAAUAUGAGUGGGAUUUUUUUUAUUCCAGCGUCGACGAGACCCUUCACGCCGAUUUUCAUCUCGUCGAAUGCUCUUACGUCACCCGCACGGUUGAAUGUUCCCACCAUUGUACACUUUUCAACUUUUUUUUUUUUGAGUGUUUAAUGAAACAGAGAAACUAUUGUGUUUGAGUCACGUAGCUCUGUCUCUAUAUAUAAGGAGGGAAAACUGGUGAAGGCAUGAAAUAGAGGGCAAAGAGAAGGAGAUAUAUUGAGAUACCGUCAGUAUUAUUAUUUAUUAAUGUCAUAAAAUAUUAUCAAUUUUAUAUCAUAUUAUUAAAAUUAUUAUCAUGUCAUCGAGAUGUGUAUCUUUUAGGUUAUGAACGGAAACCAUAGUGCGGUGCAUAUUUGGAAUUGAUAUCGUUUUGAAGUUAUAAAUGUCAGCAACCAUAGUGCGGUGCAUAUUUGGAAUUGAUGUGAUUUUAAAACUAUAAAUGUCAGCAGUAACAAGUAAAAAUGCAAUCUCAAGAAUGUUUUUUACAAAGUAAUGCAGUCACAAAAUAUUUUUGUCUGUUUAUUUCAUCCGAAUAACGCAACUUUCACACACUAUUACUUGUUAGUGUGGUACAGUGCUGUAUAUAUGUAUUUACUUAUAAUUAACUAUAAAAUAUUAUUAAAUUUAUAAAUAUUUCGAUUUUUGAUAAAAUCAUACAUGAUAAUUUUCAGUUAUGUAACUAUUCAAAACUAGUUAACUUAAAAGAUAAAAACAAUUAACUUAUUAACUUAUUUUUAUGUUUUUUUCAUUUUUAACACUUAUUUUCAGAACAAUAAUCAAAUAGACAUAAUAACUGUAAUAUUUUUAUGAUAUUAACAGACUUUAAAUAUGUAAUAUAUUUUAUGUCAUUUUUAUAUUUAGCAAUGAGAUUUUAACAUGGGUGAAUUUGCUAGAUAUUCAUAAGAAGAGUUAAAAUGAAGAAUAUAACUGUAGCUUUGGUGGAUAGGACAAUUUACAUACAAAUGAGACCGUUUUGUUUUUUAGAGUGUGUUUUGUGUUAAUAAAACGCGGCAAUGAACUCUGCCCAUGUGUGCAUCUAUAUAGAUGUAUCGUCAAUCUCUUAAUUAGUUUAUUCUAUAAUCGUUUUUAAUAUAGUAAUGUGGUGAUAUGUUGUGAUGGUCGCUUAAUUUGACUGCAUGAAGGAUAUAAGCGUUUUAGGAGAUGAACUUGUUGUCUUUGAGAAAGACACAAUAAAUAUUAAUGCCAAAGCGCCAUCUAAAUCGUUACCUACUAAUGCGAGUAAAAGAAAGUGGGCAAGAAAGGAAAAUUUAAGACUCAAUGAAAUAAAGAUUCCAUACUUGUAAAUGUUGGUUAAAGUGAAGAUGAACAAAGAAAAUAAUGUGUAAGCAAGUGAAGCAAAAAAAUAUGGGAGGCAUACAAAGUUUAGUAGACCAGUUAAUGUCAAGCGACAUAGUAGAAAAUACAACAUAAAGAAUACGGUUACAACAUUUCUCGAAGCCAUUGCGGUUGAGAUGCCAACGGUGCAAGUUGUGCAAAGUUGAAGGUUGAGAACGCUUCCACUGUAUACAAACACUCUGGCAAUCCUAACUCCUCCAUCAUAGACAUGGAAAGAAAAUAUUUCAAGUCAGUACAAAGGCAUAUACAAGUAAAAACGCUAGACAUUUGUUUACCACUAUAUUAUACAAAAACACUGAAGCAGGACAGGUGAGUGAUAUAAUAUAUAAUAUACCAUUAACACAUAUGGAAUAUAGUAAGACUAUUUACUAUACAACAUACUUUCAAAACAAGACACAACCAUAUGGUGUAAAAUAUAAUACGAACAGUUUACAUAUGUUGUAAGCGAAGAAUUAACGUUAAUCAUAGGGAUACAUGCGGAUUUGUAUAGGGCGGUCUAUAUUUGUAGAUUGAACUAUUUCAUCUUAACCUUGUAACUAAACUAUUAUAAUCUCUAGAAUAUUCUAGUCAUAUUACUUCAUACAUCACUUUCUCCCACACCCAAACCCAGAAACUCAUGUUGGACAACAGACGAAGACAACACAGACAUAGACAUGGAGAGCUCCAAGGACCCAAAUAGGAAAAUCAUAACUGAGUUUGGAAAAGAAAAAAAAUCAUGUCACUUUACCUUUUUCGUUGCCCGAUGGGAACCCCUUCCAACCAGAUCUGAAAAAUUAACAGAGGUUCCUAAGUUUGUUUAAUACAUGGCGGGAUGGCUUCGAGAUCAAUCAAACUGGGCGUACCUUGAUUCGAUGUUUUUUGUUAGAAACUCGCGCUACCGUGAAAUUAACCUAACUUUUCGUAGUCCACUUCUGUCGGUAUGACGCACACGUUGUCACAGAGUAAAAGUUUUGUGCUUCUCCAUCUUCGAUGCACACUUGAUCCCUCCAAAUCGUGUUCUUAGGGAGAAGCAACAGCAAAAAACUUCAGUUUCUAGGGUAAAGAUGAGUUAAGACACGUCUUUCAUUUCCACUCGCAGCAGGUAAGGGUAAUUUUGGCACUUUACAUGAUAUUAUAUAGCAUAUCGUACCCUCUUCAUUGUUGUGUGCAUUGCGUUAAUUUUUUUUUCUAUUAUGUACAUGAGUCCAAAUUUUCCUUUUAAUAUCAGAUUCUAAAAGCACUCGCAUCAGUGUUUUUUUGAAGAGUAUGUUGCUAUAAAAAUUAACAAACAACUAAAGAGUAGGAGAGAGAAACAUCAAAAGGUAAAGAAUCUGUGCAGGAAAAGACUACACAAUUCUUAAGAAACUAUAGUAUCAAUGUGUCUUCUUUUAAUUUAUCUAACUUUAUUUUACACUUUAAAAUUAAUUAAUAAGUCAAAUUAUUAAUAUAAUAAUAUGAGAGGCUUAGAUAAUGAUUGGUUGGGUUUUAACUUAGGAUUUUAGCUUUAUUUACUUUUAAAAUACUAAUCAUAACCAGUUAUGAUGUAACAUUAUUUUUAAAGUUAAUGUCUUGCUAUAACGUCUACAUCCUUUUUCUAUCUUUUAAUUUUUAUUUCUUAAAACAACUAUUACAGUGUUUUAGAAAUUGUAAUAUUUAUCUACAUCAGAAAAAAUAAAGCUACAACCAUAAAAACUACAUCAUAAAUUACACAUCUACAAUCUAUAUGUAUAGUCCAACCAAUCAUCUCAUUAAUUUUGAAAAAUCGACUACAAAUGAUGCUCUAAGGGCGCCCAGCAAAGACCCACUAAAAUCUCUCACACAAAACUAACUAUAAGCAAAAAACAGUAACUAAUAGUAUAAUACUAAACUGAGAAAUGGCACAUAGUUUGCUACAAUUCUAGCAGUUUCUUCACGAAGAGACGAUCCGUGUGCCUCUCUACUAUUUUUCUUUCUUUUUUUCAUAUUCUUUUAUUAUUUAAUGUACAAAAAACAUUUUAACCAAUUCUGAUGGUCUAUAAAAACCUCCAAUAAAGGUUUUUAAGACAAGUUUUUAAAAUUAUAAAUAAUUAAAAAUGUAAAGAAGUAAGAGAAGUGUCAAAUGAGUUCUAAACUCCUAUAUUUUUAGAACUUUAUAAAACUUCACACAUCCAUGUGCCACUUUUAUCCUAGUUUAAUUUUAAAAUGGUAAACAAAAAUAAUUACUUAAAUUAAUUGUAAUAAAAUAUUGAGAAUUUUUACUCCCUACACACAAAAUCUACCCUAUUUGCACUUUAUACUUUAUUUCUCUCAAUUUUUUUCUCUCCAUCAUUUUCUCCCUAUUCUAUAGUAUCCCACUUUUUUUAAUAUAUUGAGCUAAUUUGCUCUAAAAUAUUAAUGAUUUGUGUUUUUUGAUAUUUAAUGGAGUUCUAAUUGUUGUGGAUGCUCUAAGAGCAUUAGCAUUAAUGGUAUCUGAUGUAGUAUCUUAGAGCAUGUUUAUCAGUUUGUCUCUUAGCUUAGGUUUCUUAAAAUUAUUUUUAUUUCUUUUUGCUGAUAAAAAAAAAUUAAAAAAAGAAAAAGAAAAAAAGGAUCAAUCGCGGGCCGCCACGUGUUGUGGGGCCCGCAAAACAGUCUAAGCAACGGAACGAAAACGUCCCUUCUUUUGCAUACACAAGCAACGUCUUUUGUGUCUUCUGUGGGGCCCACAAAUUUUUAAUUAAUUUUUUGGUUAUAAAACCAAGGGUAAGCAACCCCUAUAAACAUGCUCUUAGCGUAUAGUAAUGUAAGUAAGUGAGAGAUAUGGUAAAAGACGUCUCUCGAGAAGAAAUUCACCAAAAUCGAAGACAAAACUAUGUUGCUAGAUCUUAAGAGUCUGACUGGUUCAAACGCAGCGGUUGUGAUUGCGGCUGCAGGCGUUUACGGAUGCGGUGAUUGCAGUUUUAAGAGAUUUGUAUGACUGGUUAUGCGGUUAUAAAUUGUUGCUUUUGCGGGAUACUUAUGACUGGUUAACUACCAAAUACAGCAGCAGUUAAAUAAUAAAUUAACAAUAUUUACAUUUUAUAUAAUUAUAAAAAUAUCAAAAAUUAAAAUAUUAUAAUAAAUAUGAAAAUUAUAUUUAGAAAGUUAUAGUUUCAAAAUUUUAAAAUUAUAAAAAAUAUUUUUAUUUUUAAAUUUUAUAAUAUUAAUUAAAAUAUAAUAGAUAUAUUUUCGUAUUUUUAUAAUUCCAUUUUAAGAAAAUUAUUGAAUAUUUUUAUUUUUGUAUUUAUAUAGUUUUAAAAAAAUAAAAUAAAUUAUCCUCUCGCAACCGCCCGCAACCGCAAACGCUAGAUGGAACGAGCUUUUGAUUUUAAGAGGUUUGGAGCAGUUUGAAACGAUUUGUAGUGGUUUGUAUGAUUGUUUCGAAACGCUAUCAACCGCUACCAACCGCAAAAGCUGCGUUUGCGGUGGUAUCGGGGAAACCAGUAAAGCUCUAAAUCAACUUGCUUAGCUUUCUUUCUUUUUAAAAUUAAUAGAACAAUAAAUGUAUAUUAUUACUGUGUUGGGAAAAUUCUACGUACCAAUGUUGUUGCUCUAAGUUUUCUAUUGAACUAGAAUAACUGUUAAGACCUUGCGCAAAGUGAGUUAAUUUGUAUAUAUUAUCGACAAACUUUUCUUAUAUAUUUAAUUAUUUUAUUUAUACAUAUAUGUAUAUGUUUUGUCAUUAUUAUCUAAUUUCUUUCUGAUGGACCGUGUCAAUUUUUAUUAAAAAUUGUAGAACUAAACUAUAAUUAAUAUAUCGUAGGUUGAUCAGAUUGGACAUUAAACAAAUUAUGACACAAAAACCUUAUUUUUUUCACCAAAGUCAUUCUUGAAAAAAGUGAACAAUGUUGUUUCCACAGUUGAAUUAUUUUGACAAUUAUCUUUCAUAUGGUUUUGAAAGGUUUCAGAUCAACCAUCGAACUGGUACAUGUCAUUUUAAUGCUUUUAGUCGUAUGCUUAAGAAAAACUUACAUUUUUUUAAUUUAAAGUUAUUUUAAAAAAUUCAAAAUAUAACAUAUAAGAAAAAAUAUAACAUAUAAGAAAAAUAUAACAUAUAAGGUUACCUCAUUUUUGUAAUUUAAAGUCGUUUUAAAAACUUUUAAAUAUAACAUAUAAUGUUUCCUCAUUUUUUGUCAUUUUAAAAAAAUCAAAAUAUACCAUAUAAGAAAAUCUAUUUUUAAUAAUAUAAAAUUUAAAAAAAAAAGGAAAAAUGAUGCAAAAAUUGUUAUCAAAUCUGUAUUAUUCAUAAUUAUUAAUUGUCAUAUAUAUAUUAAUCAUAUUAGGUAAUUUCGUAGCUUUUAUUUAAGGAAAAAUACACGCUUCUUAUAUUUUGGGUUAAUAUAAAUGUUCCCUAGUAAUUAGUUUUGACAAACAUUUUUUUCAAUUGAUUCUUAAGUUGUCACGUUAGCUAAAUUGGCAUAUCAUAAUUAAGUGACAUCUGAGCAUGAUCUCUUUUUAAUUAGUACAAACUUAAGAUUGCAACUUUUUAAAUGAUCAUCAAUUAAUAUAUAGAUGAUUACAUGUUAAUCAAUUUAGUAAUAAAAUCUUUGUAAUAUCUAACAAAAAUAAAUGUUAUGCAUACAUCGUAAGAAGGAACAACAAGAGAGUGAUAUAUCAAUAUUCUUUUUGAAAACUUCUCACAUGGUAAUAGAGGGGAUUAAAUAAUAGAUGGUCAUAUCUUAUUAGAUCAAACGUGAAAUAAACACUUUAUUGGAAGUACAACAUGUAGUUUAUUCUUUUUUUCAUACGUAAAAACAAAACAUACAGUAACUUCGGAAACCAUAUUGUGCAUGUGUGUGCACUAAUGUUUUAUUGGAAACACAAAGGAAACAACAACAGAGAUUCAGCUUAGGUUCACCCAUUUUGUUCAGAUCCUUAAAUGGCUCAACGAAUUGUUCCCAUCACGUUUUCUAGCCACAUAGUGGUUAGAGGCUUCCGGAGUUGUUUCCCUGUACUUGGGAGGGUUUUCUUCUGACAAAAGCUCUUUAAUGGGUCCAUAUACUCUAGGACUUGUUGAAGGAGGAUGCACAAAGAAAGAUGCAAUCGAAGUGCGCGGCUCUUCACCUCCAUUUGCCAAAACUCUAUGCUCCACACUCACAAACUUGUCGUUCGUUAUAAGCUGCAAAAAAAAGAUAAAAAAUGAUGACCAUAUUUUCUUCCAUAUAGACCAUUUGAUUAUAAGUGUAAACAACAACUUGCCUGUAGUAGAUCACCAACGUUAAGGAUAAGAGCAUUAGGAUUAGGAGGAACAUCGAUCCAGUAUCCAUCAUGGAGAACUUGAAGUCCUCCAAUGUGGUCUUGAAGAAGUAUAGUGAUGAAAGAUCUGUCUGUAUGCUGAGUGGCGCCGAGCGUUCGGUCUGGCUCAGGACACGGCGGGUAACAAUGACAGAGCAUCAACAAACCUUUUGCACAAUCCAUUUUUUUGAGGUGGUUAGGCUUCAGCCCUAAGGAUUCUGAUAUGAGCUCAAAUAUUAACUCCCCAAACAUCAUCACUCUCUUUGAGUAGUCCAACAUGAUCUCCCUAAAACACUCAAACAUAAAAUAAACUCUCAAAACCCAUCAAACAAAAACUAAUGAAGUUAGUAUUAAUUAAAAUUAAGAGAAGCCGUGUUCGUACCUACAAAUAUCUGGUAAGUCAUCGGUUUUGGGAACAUCAGGGAACAUAAAACAACUUAAGGUAUCUCUCCAGCUCGCAGCAGGAGAGUCAUAGAGAUCAGAGUUAGAGUUAUACUUAAUCGCUUUGGUUUUUUCACGGCUAUAGAACCUUUUCCUCGCUUCUGGAUCUUGCGCGUGAAACGCACGGAUCCCUUCUUUUAUCUUCUCCAUGACCUCGAGUGGAAUCCCAUGGUUAAUCGCUUGGAAAAAACCGAACUUCUCCAUUGCGUCUUUAACCUUCUCAGUCACUUCCUUUCUUGCGACCGUGGACUCGAACACGCCACCUCCCAUAUCUAUUGUUGGGAUAGUCAACGUAGAAGGAGGUUUAGGGUUAGUUACCGUGGCUUGCGGGUUAUGGAAUAUGAGUGGGAUUUUUUUUAUUCCAGCGUCGACGAGACCCUUCACGCCGAUUUUCAUCUCGUCGAAUGCUUUUACUUCAUUGGCACGGUCAAAUGUUCCCGACAUUGUAU
rnacentral:lncRNA from 1 species